rnacentral:rRNA from 1 species
UACGAAGGGGGCUAGCGUUGCUCGGAAUCACUGGGCGUAAAGCGCACGUAGGCGGAUUUUUAAGUCAGGGGUGAAAUCCUGGAGCUCAACUCCAGAACUGCCUUUGAUACUGGGAAUCUCGAGUCCGGGAGAGGUGAGUGGAACUGCGAGUGUAGAGGUGAAAUUCGUAGAUAUUCGGAAGAACACCAGUGGCGAAGGCGGCUCACUGGACCGGCAUUGACGCUGAGGUGCGAAAGCGUGGG